rnacentral:rRNA from 1 species
CAGCAGCCACGGGAAUACGGAGGGUGCAAGCGUUAUCCGGAUUCACUGGGUUUAAAGGGUGCGUAGGCGGAUCUGUAAGUCAGUGGUGAAAUCUCCAGGCUUAACCUGGAAACUGCCGUUGAUACUAUAGGUCUUGAAUUUUGUGGAGGUUAGCGGAAUAUGUCAUGUAGCGGUGAAAUGCAUAGAUAUGACAUAGAACACCAAUUGCGAAGGCAGCUGGCUACACAACUAUUGACGCUGAGGCACGAAAGCGUGGGGAUCAAACAGGAUUAGAUACCCCGGUAGUCCCUGUCUCUAUACA